UUUCAAAUUGCCCUGCUGAUGAAAAAUGUCGGGAAAACCAGAACUUCAAAAGAGUGCCGCCAUUGUACGGAUAUCAGAGGAGGAUAUCAAAUCGAUAUCAGAGGAUCUAAGGCUGAAACUCACACCGGAAGAGACCAGCGCCAUCUAUGAGUUCUGUGAUGGCACCUGUAAAGACUACCAGAGGGUUUACGAGUUGACAGCACCGACCCCCACCGUCAAAUACCCCAGAACCCCCGGGUAUAGAGACACACAGGACGACUCGUGGUAUUACCGAUGUGACAUCAAAGGAGCGGAGAAAGGACUUUUGGCGGGAAAAACUGUGGCCAUUAAAGACAAUGUGACUGUGGCGGGGGUCCCUAUGAUGAACGGAAGUAAGCUCCUGGAGGGGUUCAUGCCCGACAGAGACGCCACUGUAGUGACCAGGAUCCUGGAUGCAGGAGGUCGCAUUCUGGGUAAAUCUGUGUGCGAAGACUUAUGCUUCUCCGGAAAUAGCUGCACUUCCUCUACCGGUCCAGUCAAAAAUCCACACGAUCCGACAUGAAGCGCAGGUGGUUCUAGCUCGGGCUCGGGGUCUCUGGUUGCACGAAAAGUAGUAGAUGUUGCUAUUGGAGGAGAUCAAGGCGGAUCCAUACGUAUUCCCGCCAGCUGGUGUGGAAUUGUGGGAUUGAAGCCGACCUAUGGUUUGGUGCCAUACACUGGCAUUAUGCCAAUAGAGAAGAAGAUCGACCAUGCCGGUCCCAUGGCCAGGACUGUGGAGGACUGUGCCGCUUUACUAGAGGUGAUUGCUGGCUACGAUGACGGGAAUGACCCUCGCCAGUUCCCUGCAGUACCCCACCCACCCUACUCUAAACUGGUAAACGACGGGAUCAAAGGAAAGAAGAUCGGAAUUCUGACUGAGGGAUUUGUGGAUGUAGAAGAAGACUUAGCGAGGGUCGUCAGACAGAGGGCCUUGACCCUGAAGGAGGCGGGGGCGGAGGUGUCUGACGUCUCCCUCCCUAUCCACAUGGACGGUUUAGCCAUUUGGACACCGGUAGCCUUUGAGGGGACCUAUCAAAUGAUGAUUAAAGGAAACGGACAUGGUUACAACUGGAAGGGUUCAUACGAUCUCCCACUGCAAGAGGCCUUGGCGGGGGCAUAUAACCUUCGACCUUUCGACUGCCCCCUACCGGUCAAAAUAGUCAUGAUAUUUUCUGAGUACAUGCAGAGGAAUUACCAGAACAAGUUUUACGGCAAAGCCCAGAAUCUAGUCCAGCAUCUGACGAGGGAGUACAACAGAAUUCUCAAGGAUUAUGACGUCAUAGUCAUGCCCACACUUCCAGCCAAGGCAUUCAAACUUCCAUCCAAAGAACAUUCCGUAUACGAGACUCUCAAACUGGAGUUGGACAUGAUCAGGAACACUGCACCGUUCAACGCCACCGGGCACCCCGCCCUCAGUGUCAACGCCGGCCUCAGCGAGGGUUUGCCCGCAUUGCCCUGUGGGAUGAUGAUAGUGGGCAGAAUGUUUGAUGACCUCACGGUUCUACAGGUCGCCCGAGCCGUCGAGAAAACCUUUUGGGAUUACCCUAAGUAAUUCGCAUGUUAUAUACUCACCAUGUCUACAAGACAUUAUUGAACAACUUAGAUGUAUAUGCGUGCCAUUUUCAUGUUGAUAUCAUAUUUAGACAAGCUUAUAAAAUCAAAAUUAUAAUCAGCUCUUGUUGGAUCCUGACAUUUAUGUACUGUACCAUAUUGUUACGUUUAUACUCUAGCGACAAUUUCAAUACAUCGCUGCUAAAGGAUUCUUUUUCUCAAUUUAGAUAUAUUCAUGUAAAAACUCUGUAACAUUUACGCAAAUGUUUAGAUGUCUUACAUGAUGUACACAUGUCUUUUCAAUUAUACUUUGCAUGUUAUAUAUAUUGUAUUUUUGCCGUUUAGCAUUACGUAAACCUGUAGAUACACAUUUUGUGGGGUUGCCUUAAAUAUUACCCAUAACUCUAUAAUCACUUUGCGAAUGUCAAAAAUGUGUUUAUUUCCAUUUGGAUAUUUUUCUUUACAUUUUCAACUGUCUUUUUGUCUGUGAUUACAUUACGAAUCAAUUUGAACCCAAUAACCCCAUUAAACAUGAGUGGCACAAAAUGGGCGUGUCUCAUACCAUAACCGACAAACGGUAUUGGCUGCACCGCGUAGUAAUACACAGCAUGUGCUACGUGACAAAAUAAGGGUUUUAAAGUGUAUGAUUUGAAAAUAAUAUGAAUAUAAGUAAUAAGGAAUCGUUCUUUGAAUAUUAUGAGGUGAUAAUUUCGGUCGGAGCGUGGUCAAAUUUAUAAUAAAGCCUAUCGGGCUUUAUUGGAUUUGACCACGCCCCGAUUGUUAUUAUCACCUCAUAUUAUUCAAAGAAUGAUUCCUUAUUCCUUAAAUAACAACACACCAUGUUUUUUGUGUUGGUUUUUGUAAUAUAGCUUCAUGGAAUGUUCACCUCUCACACCUGUGUUACCCAACCAUGAACCUUUGAACUAAAUAUUGUAUGAGCCUUUGAAUUAUAAUUAUAACCUUGCAUAGGUAACUGUAAUAUCGGCGAAAUUAAAACAUCUGUCGUAUAU
rnacentral:misc_RNA from 1 species